UCAUGCCGUCCCCGGCUGGCUUCUCCCUGAUCUUGGGUAGCCUGGUGAGUCAUGAACCAGCCCGGUUGGUGCCUCCCGUUGAUGGAGGCUUGAGCUGGAACCUCGCUCCUCACCCAGCUGGGAUUUGUUCCUCCCCAUGCACUUUGUUAAAUGUUUACUUGGAGUCUCAAGUCACCUUUGCCUUCCUCGACCGGGUGACCUUGGUUGCUUUAUUGGGAAUUGGAGGUGAAGACGAACUACCUCUUCCUUGUUUGAAUGCCCUGUCCAUCUGUCCUUUUCAUACUGUUGCUGGUAGCUGAACUGUUAGCUCCCCGUUGUUUUUUACGCUGCCAAGGCAACUUGCAAGAGGGACAGUACUGGACGGUGUAACUGCCUGGCACUUGCACUGUGCAGUACAAAUGCUCUGUGUGGACAGGACGAUCUUUCUUCUUAGGAAAUAGUAAGGAAGUAGGAUGAAGAUGACAACCGCUUACUGUUCCCAGGGUGAAUUCCAGCCUGGUGAUUGGGGAGCAAGAGGCCUCCUCUCGGUGGGCAGUGUGCACUGUUGGUGAACAGCACUUGGCUUUCUUGCUGCUUUCUGCCUCCUGGGUGGCACAGCGGGGGUGUUUGCCCAGAGGAGAAGGCAGUACAUCUUGGGAGUGUUGCCUUCAGGAACGCCGAGAUCCUUUUCCUGGCCUUUCCCUUUGUCUUUCCUAGUCUGCUCUGUAACUCGGGUUGCCCCUUCAGAAAGUGACCCUUGUCCUGACCCUCAGCAGCUUGCUGAUGAUCAGGGCUGGAGCACCUUUUGUGGGCCGUAUGGAAUUACCAACUUAAAAACGAACCUGUUGUAUACAGUUGCUUUGCGAAGGCUGAGGCACAUGACUGUGGGCCUUUUGGCGGGGCGCCUCCACCUGCCGCAGGAAUGAAUCUCCGCCUUGCCUGCCUGUUGCUGGACCAGCUCAGGUGCUCCUGAUCUCCUGCUGCAAGGCUUGAUGGCUGGCCAGUUUUAAGUGAGACGGGGUUGUUCCUUGAGCAAGAUGGUGCCUGACUGGCCACAUCCCUGUUGCCCAGGCACAGGCAGGAGUCUGCGAGGUCAAAACUGUUUUCACAAUAUCAGAAUAUCUUUAUUUGCCAUUGAUGUCAAAAAGUGUGCAGAGGCUAUAAACUAAUGAAGUUAAUCAGUGGUGCCAUGAUCUGUGUGACUCCAGUAUCAUUCUGCUAUUUUUAAAUCCUGUAGUUUUCCUGUACUUAAGCACAAACCUAACUAUUUUUUCAUUUUGUCUUGUGCAAUGUCUUUUCCCCAAUUUCAAAUACCAAAAUAUUAGUCUUUAUAUUUUUCUAGUUUAAGAAUGGACUGUUGACUUUAAUAAACUUGUUAACCAAUAA